ACACACACACACACAACACACAUACACACAACACACACACACACAACACACACACACAACACACACACACACAACACACACACACACACACACACGUACUCGACUAGCAACACUUCUCUGUACCCCCAAGCAGUUCCAGAGACCCAUUCCUGCUUCACGCUUCAACUUAGGCACUAUCUUCAUCAUCCUCCUCCUAAGGAUGAAGAGUAUUUACCUGCAUGCCAGGCUACGUCUACCUACUAAUAAAUGUCUCUUAGAUGAUGUCAUUACUGUUUAUCCUCUCUGGGUUGAAGGUAGGGUGAGACUGUCAUUACUGUAUCUCCUCUCUGAGUUGAAGGUAGGGUGAGACUGUCAUUACUGUUUCUCCUCUCUGGGUUGAAGGUAGGGUGAGACUGUCAUUACUGUAUCUCCUCUCUGAGUUGAAGGUAGGGUGAGACUGUCAUUCUCUCUGGGUUGAAGGUAGGGUGAGACUGUCAUUCUCUCUGGGUUGAAGGUAGGGUGAGACUCAUUCUCUCUGGGUUGAAGGUAGGGUGAGACUGUCAUUCUCUCUGGGUUGAAGGUAGGGUGAGACUGUCAUUACUAUAUCUCCUCUCUGGGUUGAAGUUGGGAUGAGACUGUCUUUACUGUUUCUCCUCUCUGAAUUGAAGGUAGGAUGAGACUGUCAUUACUAUAUCUCCUCUCUGGGUUGAAGAUAGGAUGAGACUGUCAUUACUGUUUCUCCUCUCUGAGUUGAAUGUAGGGUGAGACUGUCAUUCUCUCUGGGUUGAAGGUAGGGUGAGACUGUCAUUACUGUUUCUCCUCUGGGUUGAAGGUAGGAUGAGACUGUCAUUACUAUAUCUCCUCUCUGGGUUGAAGAUAGGAUGAGACUGUCAUUACUGUUUCUCCUCUCUGAGUUGAAGUCAGGGUGAGACUGUCAUUACUAUAUCUCCUCUCUGAGUUGAAAGUAGGGUGAGACUGUCAUUCUCUCUGGGUUGAAGGUAGGGUGAGACUGUCAUUACUGUUUCUCCUCUGGGUUGAAGGUAGGGUGAGACUGUCAUUACUGUUUCUCCUCUCUGAGUUGAAGGCAGGGUGAGACUGUCAUUACUAUAUCUCCUCUCUGAGUUGAAAGUAGGGUGAGACUGUCAUUCUCCUCUCUGGGUUGAAGGUAGGGUGAAACUGUCAUUACUAUAUCUCCUCUCUGAGUUGAAGGUAGGGUGAGACUGUCAUUACUGUUUCUCCUCUCUGGGUUGAAGUUAGGAUGAGACUGUCAUUCUCUCUGGGUUGAAGGUAGGGUGAGACUGUCAUUCUCCUCUGGGUUGAAGGUAGGGUGAGACUGUCAUUCUCCUCUGGGUUGAAGGUAGGGUGAGACUGUCAUUCUCUCUGGGUUGAAGGUAGGGUGAGACUGUCAUUCUCUCUGGGUUGAAGGUAGGGUGAGACUGUCAUUCUCCUCUCUGGGUUGAAGGUAUGGUGAGACUGUCAUUACUGUUUCUCCUCUUUAGGUUGAAGGUAGGGUGAGACUGUCAUUACUGUUUCUCCUCUGGGUUGAAGUUAGGACGAGACUGUCGUUACUGCUUCUCCUCUCUGGGUUGAAGUUAGGACGAGACUGUCAUUACUGUUUCUCCUCACUGGGUUGAAGGUAGGGUGAGACUGUCAUUACUUUUUCUCCUCUGGGUUGAAAGUAGGAUGAGACUGGCAUUACUGUUUCUCCUCUCUGGGUUGAAGAUAGGAUGAGACUAUCAUUACAUUUUCUCCUCUGGGUUGAAAGUAGGAUGAGACUGUCAUUACUGUUUCUCUCUGGGUUGAAGGUAGGGUGUGACUGUCAUUACUGUAUCUCCUCUCUGGGUUGAAAGUAGGAUGAGACUGUCAUUACUGUUUCUCUCUGGGUUGAAGGUAGGAUGAGACUGUCAUUACUGUUUCUCCUCUCUGGGUUGAAAGUAGGAUGAGACUGUCAUUACUGUUUCUCUCUGGGUUGAAAGUAGGAUGAGACUGUCAUUACUGUUUCUCUCUGGGUUGAAUGUAGGAUGAGACUGUCAUUACUGUUUCUCCUCUCUGGGUUGAAGGUAGGAUGAGACUGUCAGUACUGUUUCCCCUCUCUGGGUUGAAAGUAGGAUGAGACUGUCAUUACUGUUUCUCUCUGGGUUGAAGGUAGGAUGAGACUGUCAUUACUGUUUCUCCUCUCUGGGUUGAAGGUAGGAUGAGACUGUCAUUACUGUUUCUCCUCUCUGGGUUGAAGGUAGGGUGAGACUGUCAUUACUGUUUCUCCUCUCUGGGUUGAAGGUAGGGUGAGACUGUCAUUACUGUUUCUCUCUGGGUUGAAGGUAGGGUGAGACUGUCAUUACUGUUUCUCCUCUCUGGGUUGAAGGUAGGGUGAGACUGUCCUUACUGUUUCUCUCUGGGUUGAAAGUAGGAUGAGACUGUCAUUACUGUUUCUCUCUGGGUUGAAAGUAGGAUGAGACUGUCCUUACUGUUUCUCUCUGGGUUGAAGGUAGGGUGAGACUGUCAUUACUGUUUCUCUCUGGGUUGAAGGUAGGAUGAGACUGUCCUUACUGUUUCUCUCUGGGUUGAAGCUAGGAUGAGACUCAUUACUGUAUCUCCUCUCUGGGUUGAAAGUAGGAUGAGACUGUCAUUACUGUUUCUCUCUGGGUUGAAGGUAGGGUGAGACUGUCAUUACUGUUUCUCUCUGGGUUGAAGGUAGGGUGAGACUGUCAUUACUGUUUCUCUCUGGGUUGAAGGUAGGAUGAGACUGUCAUUACUGUUUCUCUCUGGGUUGAAAGUAGGAUGAGACUGUCCUUACUGUUUCUCUCUGGGUUGAAGGUAGGAUGAGACUAAGGAGUUGGGAGUUAUUUUUGCUGUUGUCUUCAGUACUGAAGUCAGUCAGUUCUAUUAGCAGUAUAGAAGUAGUGAGACCUGUAAACGUGUCUUUGUCUGAGGGAAGAUACAUUACCUAAAAUCACUAUCGAUCAAUCGUACAUUUUCAUAAAAUGUAAAGUGUAUUAUAUAUAUUCAUUGGAUGGUUUCUCCUGAAGAUCUGACCAACAGUGGCUGGUUGCUGUGCAUUGUGGUUCACUGGCACUCAUUUUAAUUUUGUUGUCUCUGUGUGAAGUCUGGAAGGAAUUCCUCGGGUUUUGUUAGUCUCACAACACCGUUAACCUGUUGUUGGCUAAUAAAAUAAUGUCAGAAAAACA